rfam:Myotis davidii contig160938, whole genome shotgun sequence.
CAGGGUCAUUUGAGAGUUAAGUUAAAUGAGUACUAGUGCACUCCAACUGCAUGCAAGAGCAACCUGGAGAGACUUUAACAGCUCAGAUCAGCAUAAUACCUGCAGCUGCCACUUGCCUUGCCUGUAUCU